AGUUUUAAUCAAAUUUAUAUGUCACCAGGAAUAAAACAAAACUUUCUCCAAGAUACACAGGUUCUUACUGAAUUGUCUAAAAAACAAGUCCGGUAAAUUAUAUAGUUGAGACACAAAAAUAUAUUUUAGUUCAUGCAAACUGACUAAAACUUGCUAUUAACAAGAUGAAAUUUGAAUCUCAGGAGGAAGGAUUGGAUCAUAUUAUGACACAAUCUGAUUAUGUCCUGGAAAGAAUUCCUGAACCUAAUCUCACAUAUAAGUCUAGUGAGUCGAUCCCUAUUUCAGCUGCUCUACUGCAAAUCUUGCAUAAUUAUGACUUAAGAAGCAAGGAUCCUGACACUAAGGAACCAUGGGCCCGAAACACUUUUAUUCAUAACUGCAUUUCACAACAGAUCAAAGCAUAAAUAGGUUUAUUUGCAGUCAGAUCAACCGUGUACACAUGAAAGGAAAAAAUAUAAAUGUUAUGAAAUUAACUAGUUGUAAAACAUAAAUUAAAAAAGAUGAAUAUCGAUUUAAAGAAAAGGAAACCAAC
rnacentral:lncRNA from 1 species